CCAACCGUGUACCCAAAAUCUUAACUCGUACUGCUUGAAGCUUAUAAUGAAAUUGAGAACUGACCGAUUCAAUAUUGUUAUAUUGGAAUUAUAAUGCCAUAAUUCAAAUUCAAUGUUCCACAGUCCUCGAAUCGCUAAAGAAAGUUGCGCCACAAUUUCCAUCCAAAGGAUUCAACAUCGCCAGAUUAUAUUUUAUUCAAGUAUGUUGUGCUUAU
rnacentral:misc_RNA from 1 species